UAUAUAUUUGCUAUCACAACCUCCUCUCCAUACAACAGGCCCUUUAUUAUAAUCAUUCUACCUUCUUUAUCAGAAUAGCUCGUUUGUAGUUGAAAUGGUAAGUUUUUAUGGAUCAGUAUUAUUACGCCAUGCUUUUUGGUGGAGAAAGAUGAAUAAUAAAGUUGGCCAACCUAGUUUCUGCCAAAUUUUUGGUGCUCAAGAUCAUUCAAAUGGGUUUCUUGUAAAAGAGCAAUAUGUAUUUUGUCCCUUUUCAAAAUAUUUAGGAUCUUCUUUCGUUUAACAACAUUGUUGACGCCCUUUACAUUCCAAGUACGUAUCCUUGUGCUCGAGCUAUUUGUAUUACUCAUUGAUAGUUAGUAUACCAAUUAGAUGUGUAAGUGUUAACCGUUUUAAAAUGCACACACUGUAAGAGAAAAUAAAAAGCAUAACAAUAAAUGGAUAAAAAGGAAUACCACAACAGCUUAAAUCACAGAAAACAAAAAACCUCCUGCAUGAAAACAGAACUGUGCAGGUGGACAAAAAGCUUUUAGCCCCAAACGUGAACGGGGGAUGUAACAUUGUGACAACACAAAAAAAAAAAAAAUACUAAAUUUGUGAACCUCUCACAUUCAUCGGCUGGUCCUGUUAAGGGUAGCCAGAAAAACAGCAGGCAGAGAGGUAACAGCGUGGGAGUCUUAUGUUCAUAAUUUCGUGGCACGAAGAUGUUUUCUCUGCAUGUCAUAAGUUAAUUGUUCGUGUCAACGUUGCUCCAAGCCAAACAGGCUAACGUAUAUCACAGUCGUCCGCAUUGAUUGCAGAAUAUAUUAAACAGCGCUUUUCAAAUUUCGUACGUCAUAAGUACCUGUGAGGGGAUAUUACAGUCGUUGAGUCGAUUCCAAGAAGGCGUUCACCUCCGCGGGCGUAGACAGGUAAGUGUCUUUGCCGGCUGCGUUGAACACUCUUAUAGUGGCGGGGUAGAUGAAGGCAUAUUUAAAUCCUGCUUCCCGCAAUCGUCUUCGGGCCUCUGCCGUCUCCGCUCUCUUCUUCUGUACGCCAACCGAGAAAUCUUGAAAAAACGACACUUGUUUCCCCUCAAUGCGAAGGUCACCCGAACGUCUCGCUGCUUCUAAAACCACUCUUUUGUCUUUGUAGUUAUGUAGUCAAACGAUCACAGGUCUCACUCUCGGAUGUUUGCCUUCGUUUCUCAGUGGUCCAGUUCAAUGCGCCCUUUCCAAUUUUAUCCGUCCAUCCUUUGCCUUCAUAUUUAGAGUGGCCGGGAUCCAAGUCUCAAAAAAAGCUGUCGGGUCGCUCCCCUCUAUGCCCUCUUUGAGACCAACGAUUCUGAUAUUCUGACGCCGGCUUCGAUUUUCAAGGUCUUCUACACGUUCGAGUGUUUUUUGCAAGGACGACUCGACAGAUGCCAGGCGCGUUGAGCUGUUAGCUUGGUUAUCUUCGAGGUCUACAGGUUGCAGCACCAACUCCCUCACACAGAUUGGUUAGGAAACCCAGGUUGCUUGAAAAGUGAGCUCUCUGUAGAGUUUAUCAGGACAGCCGAUUAGGGUCCGCCCUCGCUCCCCUGUUGUGCGGAUGAUAGCAUAUUGAUAAUUUUAGUUUUUUUUCAAAAAAUAUACAUACUUUAAACAAAUUCUAUAAUUGGAAUAAGUCAUUAUGUCUGUAACACAGAGAUUCUUAGAGGCGAGGGAAAUUGGAUCCAAUCAGUUUUAUUAAACAAAAACAAUUACACAUAUAGCCAGGAACAUGGAUAAUGUCAAGUAACAAACAAAAACAGAAGCAAGGGCUCGAUAUCAAUGUUAAUUUCAGGGUUUGCUACAUCAUGCUACCAUAUAUUACAUAUUAAGGCGCAUCACCAUGACUGAUUGAUCAUUCAGCAAUACUCAAAAUGAAUUCAGCUCGAAUUAAACAACUUGUCUAUUGUUAAAAAGACGGUACUUAACGCGGGUACAUCGCUCCACUCAAAAUAUAGACUCUUUGUAGACCUACAGCAUUUGAAGGGGUCGUCCUCUGGAAUUGGCCAGUCGAGGGUCCCAUUCGUCGUCAGAUUGAGACGAAAAGUCCAUUUCGCAUUCCUCACGGGGUUUCAUCAACUUAAUGAGGUUUUGGUCAUGAAGUGACAUGUUCCAACAGGUUGAUAUAGUUACGUUAUCACCGGGCUUUAUCACCUUGUACCGCACGUUUGGGGUCACUCCAUCUCACUUGUUCACGUAAAAGCUUUUACCAGCGAUCCCAUUCAGAUCGGUCCAGAUACGAUUGUAGAAAAAUGACCAGUCCUUGGCGGGCAAAAGCACACAAGGUGUCUGUGAUGUAAAUUCUUCAAAAAAUUCCAUAGCGUAGAGUUUAACCGUACGUGAUGCUUUGUUAAAAACAAAACUGCCCACAUAAACAUCGGCCAUCAGAAAUUCCUGUUUCACAAAAUUUUCAUCUUCAUGAAGAAACUUGGUCAAACGAAUCCUGUGUUUUUUCUGCCGUGCGUAAGGAAUUUUUUCUUCUGUUUUAACAUAACUUUCAACAGAAGUUUCAGGAGCUUGUGGAGUAGCCAUUGUAGCUUUGCAGACCGUUUCCUACAGCUUAUUCAGUAGAUAGGGCCUGUAGGUUUUAACUAGAGAGAAUGUGAACACCCGCUGUGUAACCUCUAACCCCUGGAGGGUAAACGUCUAUAUAGCGUUUGGAGUCAUUUUAAAUGUUUUACAAGAUAAAAUAUUUCAGAGUUCCUUGUGCUAUAUUCAAUAUCCACAUACCACCCCAAAAAAUCUAUUUCAGCGCUAUUUAAAAACUAGGAUUGUAUAAUAAAAUAAUGUAAAGAUCUCAAGUGAAGAUGAUGAUUUAAACCAAUAUUUUAUUAAAUCAAGCAAAUGCUAUGAAUAAAGAGAUGCCGAGAAUACCUAAAGUUGACUAACAUUACAGCAUAUUCAAGGAUACAAAGUGUAAGGAAAGCAGACACACACACACACACACACACACACACACACAAAUAUUACAAUCACACAGCAAUACGUUGAAAAUGUUGAUAUUAAAAAUUGGUAAACAAUUUCAAAAGCAGUGUGUUUCAGGAAAAGUGCAAACAAAUCAAAGAAAACUCAAAUGUCUCCAAACUACAUCCUAAUAUUUAGUCUAGCUUCAGAGUCAGAUGACCACUGAUAAAGACUUUGUGACUUGUGUGAAGUUUGAUGAGGCCGAGAACCCUAGCACUGUUAAACAUGCGGUACAAUAACAAUGUUCAAUAGAAACUAGAAUCCAACAUUUACAAUAUGUUAAAACUCAUCUGCUGAUGAGGACAAAAAACUGUCUAUCACACAUUUUCAUAAAAAGAAUAACAAAUCAUUUCUGGAUCAGUUCUAAAGGACAGACACCAAAAAACACUGGUGUCAAAGUAUUGGUGUUGACAGAAUAAUAAAAAAAAAAAUAAAAAAAAAAGGCAUGAAUCAUCCCACUGUUCAAUUUAAUUUUCAAUUAAUCUACUUAACUAUUGUUUAAAGACAAGCACAAAAGAACUGUGUGUCUAUGACAUGCUGUGAAAUGCAUAGCUCUAAGUGCAAUAGUUAUAAAAGUUUGAAGUGUAAUAGCUGUAAUGUAACAGAAAAACAGCAAGACUCACUUUUUACGUUGAUGCAUUAUGUGUCUUGUGACCGCUUCAUAGACAGACCAGAAAGAUGGCCUAAAAGAACAUUACACUUUUAGUUUAAACACUCAUGUAGUAGGAGUAUCAUUUGUUUGUGUUUUCAUUAUGUCCUGCGAGUAGCUGCAUGUUUGACCAAACUCAGAGUGCAGUCUUUAUCUAAAACUGUACAUAUAUACAAACUAAUAAAAAUUGUAAACAGUGUCAUCUGCUAGUGGAAAAUGGCAUUUACAAAUUACAAUCUUUUGCAAUAGAUCAGAAGAGAGGAUUUCUGUAUUAUGUUUACAUUAUAGCUAAAUGUAUCUUAUAUGUCGUACACACAUACAUUUUUGUACGUAUAAUACCUGUAUAAUGAUUGUUUGAAUUUCUUCUUUAAGAGGGUAUACGAUGUUAUAGUUCUCAAAAUGAGCUUGCAUUACAACAGCGUGGCAUAGACUCUAACAAAACUGUAUACUAUAAUACACAUAUUCUUUAACGUCAUGCUGUGAUGUUGAAAGAAAUGAUUCAUUAAACAGAAUUGGUUUUGUCAGAAGUUCAGUCAUACAUCUAAAAAGAUACUUAAAUGAAUGGUCUCUGUUCAUCACACAUGUGUGAUUUGCAAAAAACCUACACUGAAAGCAACCAGAGAGGAGUAUUCGGCUAAAAACAUAUACAGACCGACGAAUAAAAUGCCACCAGUGAUCUUGAUAGUCUUUAUAAUGUGACUAAGACUAAUGAAGGGGGUAAACAUGCCUAUCACAAUAAAUCAAGAGUGAACUUCUGUAUAUAACACUUUUCUUACAUGAUGUCACUGCUUUCUUAGUUACUAGGCCUCUUGAAUUUAGAUGUGAGAAUUUAUUGUGCUCACAUAAUUUGUACAAAGAUCAUGUUUGAGAUGUAUCUAUAGCUUUACUUCAGUGUGUAACUUUGAUUACCCUCCUCGAACUGAAUGAAAUCAUAGCUUUCGGCUUCUGAUCUAAAGCUUUACUGAAACCUUUCAGAUGGUGUGAAUAAUAACGUACAAAUAUCGUAUAAUACAUGUUGAAAGUGUGUAUAAUACAUGUUGACAAGUGAAAAUGACCUAUUCUUUUCUUUAUUAUGAAGCUUCAGCCAGAUCCUUGUAUCGCAUGAUUGUAGCAUGUCUGAAACUUUGAAAUAAGUCUUAUUUCAACACCACGGGAAAAUGAUUUUUGUCUAAUAGUCUGUCAAAAGAAAAAAUAAAGUGGUUUAGUCGUAUUUAAAAAACAAACAAACAAACAAAAAUUCUUAAAAACAUUGUGUCAAAAGUAUUUGGUAGCGUGAUAUUCUUUGUUUCAUCAUGUAUUAACUUCAUAUUUAUUAGACUGAUAAAAGUAGUAUGAACCUUUGUAGAAAUAAUAAAAGCACAUUUUAUAAAACAAUGAAUGGCAGUGUGUCAGAACAAACGGGUAUGAAUAUAUGUUUGCUUUUAACUUUUUAUUUAUACUUUAAAGUAAGAUUAUCUUUAAAAAAAAAAAAAAAAAAAUGUAAUACAGUAUUUGAUUUUUGGUAAAACUAUCUUACAUAUGUAGUGUUUUCACGCAUUGUCAUGAGCCUAUCCUUAAUGGUUGCAUUGUGUGAGGAACUGUGUAAUAUCUAAUUGUUAAAAACAUUGCAGCAAAAAAAAAAAAAAAAAAAAAUCGACAUCAUUCUUUUGUUUUAUAUUUACUAGGAAUUGAAACUAUAGAAAUAAGAAAAAUAAAAUCACAUAGAUCUAUGAGACAUGCGUCAACUAAAAAGAAAAAAAAAUGCAAGUUUAAAUGUAUGGUUUUUAAAACACAAAACAACAUAUUUAACAGAUAUACUAGGUUUUAACAGCAAGGACAUUUUCUACCACAGAGUCUGAUGUGGACAUGCCUGGUAGGGAUUUGGCCUAAUCUUUGGUUUUUAAGGGAAAUUAAACAAUCUCAGGAGACCGACUGAACCCUGUGGAGUCGCAUCUUCUGAAAGACCCUGGCAUGUGUGGAUUCACUCAGUUGAAAACAUGUCGUUUGUAGGGUCACUUUAAAUCACUGGGGGUCAAAGGGCAUUCUUCCUGUUAGUGUCAUCAGUGUGACACACAGAUAUUUUUAAAAAUGUACACAUAUUUUUGAGUAGAUAACCGGUAUUAUAUAUUUUUGUAUAUUUUCAGUGAAGGGUAUAUGUUUCCACAGUGACAAAUGCUUGUGCCAGUCUCGAUCAUAGAUAGUACAGAAGGUCAGAUGCAGAGUUCAGGCACAGCAAAAUAAUAUGACAACAUAUGACCACUUUUUUAUUUGAAGUUUAAAGUAAUAUCAUGCUUUAAAAUAAGAUGAGUAAAAUUAAAUAUUCACUCAAGAUACUUUUUUUUUCAUGGGAGCAACACAGAGGAACAUCUGAUCUCUCUCUCUCUCUGAAAAUGUGUGAUUUUCUCAAAGAUACGGCUUUAAACAAGAGCAAUGUUGAGCCCUCGUUCUGAGUUACGUUUGAGUUGUGAGGCUUCAAACACAUAAACACCUUCACUUUUGGAUUUUAAAAAAAAAUCAAAUUAAAUAUUUGCAGUUUAUUUUAAAAACAUACAGAUUUCUUAAAACAUUGUGUGUCUCAUGGGCAAAAAUGUUGCUUGAAUUUUUUUGUAUUAUUGAGAUCUAAGAUGACUAAGUACAAGUUUUUGCUUUAAACUAUGAAACAUGGAAUACUUAUAUAUAUAUAUAUAUACAUUAUAUAUAUAUAUAUAUAUAUAUAUAUAUAUAUAUAUAUACACACACAUAUAAAUGAUACUUUAGGUUAAAUUCAGGCAAAAUCAUUUCCACCGUAGGGCAUCAGAUUAUUAUCCCGAUAGAGUAGACUUCUAGGAAGAAUAUUUGAAUUCAAUUAAAACUUUAAAGAAUGGAUUUAAACAACCUUGUAAUUUUUUAAAAGAUCAUAUUUAAGAACAUAUUUGUGCUUUGAAAUAAAUGUAAUACAGAAGCCUUCACUCUGGAAAGGAGUUAGCGGUCUGAACAUAUGCUGUGACAGAAGCUCAUCUGUCUGACUCUCCCAUCUCUCAUUCACACUAGAGUUUAUUCCUAGGAGGAUCUGGGAGUGUUUUGUUUAUAAUACAACUUAAACUAUUUACUUUUUAUCAUCAAGAACUGCUUCUUCAACUCUCUGAAAAUGUAAGGCGUUUUCAUAUUUAUAAUUAUUUAUUUAUUUAGCUGAAACUAAACUGUGUUUAAUUUGUUUAAAUAUUUUUUAGCAUCAUAUUUGAUGUUACACAUUUAUUUAGAAUCAUUUUAUUUAAAAUAGAGAUAAGAACCAGCCUGAGACUUCACAGGUUCUCUUUCUGAAAAUGCUUGGUGAUUUUUCUUAAGGAAUUAUUGAAAAUGCUGCACAAUGUGUGAGACCCCAACAUUUUAUACAUACACUGAUAAAUAAAAAUAUACUUUAGGUUUUAAGUCAGAUAAUCAGUCUUCUAGGAAGAUUUGACUUGAGACUUUUUAAAAGAUGUAAUUUAAACUUUUAAAUGUAUGCUUUGAAAUAAAAGUUAGCACAGACAAAACAAUGUUUCAUCACCCCCCUCUGUCUCAGGUUUCACAGCACGGUUGCAUGAAGUUACUUGGAGAGAGAGAGAUUUUUAGACUUCAACUUUAUUCAUGUUAAGGACAUCAAAAAAAAAGUGAGGUGAAUGGAUUAUUUUCACCAUACCCUCGUUGUUCAUUUGAUCAACUAAGAAGAACUGGGCAUUUCCUCCUUCACCAGCUCCUAGACAGAAGAAAAAGUGUGUGACAUACACACAUAGAUUCUUUUGUCCGGCCAAAAGGAAAGAUUCAGAAAUCCUGAAGGUGGCCGAAAAAUUUGAACUGGAGAGAGCAGGACUUGGAGAAAAAAAAAUGAUGUUCUCUGACAAAUACUGUUGUUCUUCGGAGUUCAAUCAGGAACUCGUACGCCAGUUCCCUAAGCGGGGUGAGGGUGGUGGCUUUGAGCUGUUAAAAACGAGAGGCUGCACCAGGACAAAAAUUCUCCAUCCUAUUCCGUGUCCAGAUACAGGUUAUUCCCCUGAAUACCUAUGCUCCGAUGCAGCUGGAAUAGGAGCAGCUACGAUUCAUGUCAGACCUCUUUGGAGAUUGUUGCUUCACUAAACUCCAUUCAUCUCUGUAUUUAGUGCUGUUUGCCUGGGGAUCACAUUCAGACAAUAAUAAUACCAGCUGUAUAUGGGGCCUUUGUUGAAACAAAUGGGUGGGUGAUCUUAUGUAAAAUACACAAAGACUGACCAUGUUGCAUUUACAAAUUACCCAGGAACACAACUAGCAGUCCCCAACAAGAAAGUAGCAACAUGCAAGGCAGCUUUACUUGCAGCAAUACACCAGCAAGUAGUCCCAACACCCUACAUUAUGAGAGCAGCAGCCGAGCAGGAGCAGCAACAGCAUUCCCAUUCUCCAGAGCAGAGAGCAGGAGCAUCAUUUUUAUCAUAUGUGAUCCUGGAGCACAAAACCAGUCAUAAGUCGCACGGGUAUAUUUGUAGCAGUAGCCAACAAUACAUUGUAUAGGUCAAAAUGAUCUAUUUUUUUUUAUGCCAAAAAUCAGUAAAGAUCAUGUUCCAUGAAGAUAUUUUGUAAAUUUCCUACCGUAAAUAUAUCAAAAAUAUAUUUUUGUAUGCAUUGUUAAGGACUUCAUUUGGACAACUUUAAAGGUGGUUUUCUCACAUUUUAGAUUUUUUUGCACCCUCAGAUUCCAGAUUUUCAAACAGUUGUAUCUCGGUCAAAUAUUGUCCUGUCCUAACAAACCAUCAGUGGACAGCUUUAGUCAGCUUUCAUGACUGGUUUUGUGGUUCAGGGCCACAUAUGUCUUCAAAUGCAACUGGGCAAGCUCAUGUCAAAGCAGACAGGAAUAGUAAAGAAAAUGUUCUCAUUGUAUAUUCACCCUUUUUCUGCAGAAUGUGUUAUCUUCGCUCUGUGAGUUCAUGCAGUGCCAGUGAAUGGUGACCUAAAACUCUUCAAAAUACAGCGCAUAAAACUGCAGUGCAUUAAUUUAUGAAUUCAGAAAUGAUCAAAUCUGUAAUCCAAAUACGAGGUCAGCAGUCAUAAUUCUGGAUAUACAGUGGUGCUUGAAGCUCUGACAUCUAUCUAUCUAUCUAUCUAUCUAUCUAUCUAUCUAUCUAUCUAUCUGUCUAUCUGUCUGUCUGUCUAUCUAUCUAUCUAUCUAUCUAUCUGUCUAUCUGUCUGUCUGUCUGUCUGUCUGUCUGUCUAUCUAUCUAUCUAUCUAUCUGUCUAUCUGUCUGUCUGUCUGUCUGACAUCUAUCUAUCUAUCUAUCUAUCUAUCUAUCUAUCUGUCUAUCUGUCUAUCUAUCUAUGUUGAACACUGACAACAUGAUUAAUAUUCAUGAAGCUAGCAGCUCAUCAGUCAUUUGUGUGGUUCAUAUUGGUGUUAGUAGUAGAAUUCAUAGUGUUAUUGUCUUUUAAGUCUGGUGAGUAGACAAAAAAAUGACUAGCCAAUAAUGAUUUUACUGCCAAGGUGAUUUGUGUGUCUGUAACUUAUAUUUUCAGACUGGAAAAUUGAGAGUGAUGAACAGCAAGCAGCAUACCAGUUUUGAAGAAACUUAUUACAUGGAGCUGAAGACCGGACACCCCUUCAGGUCACAACAGAUCUAACCAGCAGUGUGCAAGACAGACAUAGACAGUUUCUGUCAUUCUACGAGUCAAACCCAACUGACUGGGCAUCCCCACUAUCAAUCAACCUUAAAGCUUGAAGAGCCGAGGGAUCUGACAGACGUGGAACGAUAGAGAGUGAACGAGCUUGCUUUUAGCUGGGCCAACAUUAACUAGAGAAAACCGGAAGUGGCUUGCAGAAACCGUUCUUCAGCAUGAGGUUAUCGGUCGCAGAGAGAAGCAGAUGAAGCAAAUCAAACGAGGUCUGAAGGAUACUGGGGUCCUGCUCAUGAGGAAAGAACGGCCUUCUCUCAUCACAGUGCUGUUCCCAAAAUCAUCCUUCCUGAACUAAUGGAUUGUUUAUGGCUCUGAAAACAUGCGAUCGUUAACCAGACUUCCCAUUUCCUAAAAACCUGAGCAUUUAUGCUGUUUUCUUUGUCCAUAGAUGGUUUAGAAAGAGUUAUAUGGCCAAUGAUGAAGAUGAAGAUGAGGAUGAUCACAAGGUUCCUCUGGAGUUGAAACGCCAGAUGGCGUCGUACCUCAGGAAGUACAUCGAAAAUGCUACAGCACUGGGUAUGGAGCAGGGUCGGGCAAUCCUCCCACAACAUCUCUAUGUGGAGGUGUCUGACUCCAUUAAAGUGAGAAAAUAAAGCUGCCUUCUCACGACACUCACUACAUGGACUUUCAGGCAGACUUAAAGCAGCAGUGUCCACAAGAGAACGUGGAUUUGGAUUAGUUUAAUCAUAUGGUGUGUUCCUGGGCUUUUUAAAUGAAGAGGCCAGUCCUCAACUGUUAGCCAGUGUGCUUUUGAUAGGACUGUUUAUUGAGAGAGAAAAAUGUUAUUCAAAUGAAACUAAAUACUAGAUUUUAUAACUUCUUGUUCAUUUUUUUCAUUUGUAGCAAGUUAAAUAAUGUGUAACUUAAAGUUGAAAUUUGAUGUAAAAAAGUUGAACAAAUUUGUACAAAUAUUAAAGUACUAUUCAUUUGUUUAAUCAAAUGUAAUUAGCAGCCAGUGCAUCAGGAAAACAUGUAUUUGCUCAUCAAUAAACAAACUGGAUUCAAGGA